rnacentral:rRNA from 1 species
CCUACGGGAGGCAGCAGUGAGGAAUAUUGGUCAAUGGACGCAAGUCUGAACCAGCCAUGCCGCGUGCAGGAAGACGGCUCUAUGAGUUGUAAACUGCUUUUGUACGAGGGUAAACGCAGAUACGCGUAUCUGUCUGAAAGUAUCGUACGAAUAAGGAUCGGCUAACUCCGUGCCAGUAGCCGCGGUACUACGGAGGAUUCAAGCGUUAUCCGGAUUUAUUGGGUUUAAAGGGUGCGUAGGCGGUCGGAUAAGUUAGAGUUGAAAUCCCGAGGCUCAACUUCGGAAUUGCCUCUGAUACUGUUCGGCUAGAGAGUAGUUGCGGUAGGCGGAAUGUAUGGUGUAGCGGUGAAAUGCUUAGAGAUCAUACAGAACACCGAUUGCGAAGGCAGCUUACCAAGCUACUUCUGACGUUGAGGCACGAAAGCGUGGGGAGCAAACAGGAUUAGAUACCCCUGUAGUC